rnacentral:pre_miRNA from 1 species
UUCUACACCUCGCAAUAUCGUCUUUGAUGUUGCGGUGAUAUAUUGCGAGGUGCAGAACU